AGAGAUCCAGGCAGGACCCAGGAGUCUCGGACUGCCGCCUGUGAGGCAGCUCCCCAGGGAGCCUGGGCAGUGCUCUGCUGGCUGCCCGGUGCAGGGCUGGAGCCCUCUCUAGCCAGUGUGGCUGAGAAGCAAUCAUCUCUUCCCCAGCCACAGGAGCGGCCCAUCCACAUCCAGGCUUCUUUCUUGAGCAGAGGAAGUAACUCCUGUUGGGGCAGCUUUGACUGAGCUCUACAGCUAAGGCUUGUACACCAGCCCCCUCGUUUGCAGAGCCUUCGGGGUCAUUUCUCAGCUGCCGAAUUUGAGAGAAAAAAACAAAAACAAAACAAAACUGUGAGAACAGAGCAGAGUGUGGAGCCUUGUAAACUUUGGAGGCGGGGACAUUUUCUUGAAGGGGACAAGUGGCCCCAAAUCUACACUGUUCUCGGGCUAGUGGCAAAGCCUAUUGGUGGAACACCAGCCACAAGGCCAACAGCAAGGACUUACGACCGUCAUGGAGUCCGUGUUGGCAGCAUCCAGUUCUCCCACAGGCCGGGUUACCUUCUCCCGUGUCUUCGGCCAACAGUGCCAGCUGAUGGAAGCAGUAUAGCACAUAACUAAUUCUAUCCUGUUAUGUUUCCUUGGGAUAAGUGGGUGCUCCACGAAGUAGCUCUACAUUUUGUGUUUUGUGUGUCCUUAAAAACUCUAUAUACUUUGAGUUAUGUAUUUGUAUGAUGAUCCCAGACACAAUCUGGCGGUUAAUUAUUUGUUGAAGAAAUCCAGGUUCUCAGCAUUUACCUGGUUGAUCUCUUGGGUAUACACACACACACACACACACACACACACACACACACACACACACAGAGUUGACAGUAUCAUUUUACAUUUCCUUCUUUGUCUUUUCACAGCGGUGCAGUCAUUGCACACCCUAAAUGACCAGAUUUCCCAUUUCAUUGUUACCAAGUCGAAGGCACUGGAGGAAGACGAUGACCCCUUUCUACCCACGGAGAAAGAGACACUGAAGAACUCGAUGAUAUUGAUGAGACAUCUCUUAAUGGAUGCCCAGUG
rnacentral:lncRNA from 1 species